CCUCUGUGAAAACAUGAUGGGGACAGAUGACAACGGGGUGGAGACUGGUGAACGAUUUCCGACCCCAUGUGAUGUACAGUAUUUACCCACUUUGCAUGCUUUUAGAAAACCUUUUUUAAUCUACCUGCCAUGCGCAACAAACGGUGAACUUGGUGCCUCCACAUUCUAAUGACACACAUUACAUGCUUUUAUUUUAUUUUUCAGAGGACGCUCUGACCCAACACUCAGCCUUACAGGAAGCCCUGCUUCCCUGUGGCUCAUACACAGACAUGAUGUAGGUUUAAUCAGAGGAUGUGAACCAGUGGUCAUCACACCUAAAUAUGACCACAGACCAUGUAAACAACAACACCCUCUUAAAGGAAGCCAUAGAUGGCGUUACUGCAGACACCACUAAGCUACUGAAACAUUGGAUGCUACAGGCCACAAAGAGAGCCUGUCUAAAUUACACUUUGUUCAGACUAAGGUUAUUUUCUGGGUCAUUGUAAUUACAGCUGAUGGCAAAUCCAUCUCACCCAACAAAGUUGAAGCAUUUUUAAACCUGCCUAAACCGUGCACGUAAAAAGAGCUGAUAUCUUUUCUAGGUCUUUGUUCUUAUUUUAGGAUCUUAACUUUACUGUCUCUGAGGCCCCACUCAGGGUUCUGAUGCAGACGUCUUCAUCAUCCACUUUUCUAUCACAGACGUCUGAGAUUGAACAACGUUCACUGACCUCAUGCUUGCUCUUCAGUCGGCUCCUACUUUGGGUCUUCCUGAUCUUACCCUACGCGACCUUUCACUCAAACAGUGGAUGAGAAAUCAGGUUGUACGACAUCUGUUCUUUUGUCCUGUAGCCUAUUUUUCAAGCUUGAUCCAGUUGCUGCUGAUCUUCCACGGUGUCUAUGAGCAGUGGCUGCAGCAGAAAAAGUCGUUCUGGCAUCAUGUUACAUUUUUGGCUACUCUGAGGUCACCUUGUUGGUUCCUCAUGCUUUGUCUUUGAUCCUUUUGGAACAGAAAACAUCACAUCUUUCUACAGCUCAAUGGCUUAGAUGCAACACCACUCUACUUGCUGAACAUUACUAUUAAGAGGUGUGAUGUGCCUAACCCAGCCACUCUUCUUUCAGGCCCUGACGAUGGUGAGCCUCAGACUGUGUUGAUGGCUCUGCCUCUAGAGACCCUGCUUCAGGCCAGUGUCAGGUUGGGUUUGCAGUCUGCACUCUUCAUGGCGUCUUGAAGUCUGGCGCUUUGCUAAGACACUACUCUGCUCAGGCUGCAGAGUUGACUGCGUUGACUGAAGCUAGUAAACCAGCAGAAGGAGAGUCUGUUACCAUCUACACAGACUCCACAGAUGCUUUUGGUGUCACAAUUUGGUACUCUGUGGAAGCAUAGGAAGCUUUUGAAGUCUGAUUGCAAACCUAUCUUACAUCAUGAUAAGGUCUCUGCUUUGCAGGAUGUUGUUCUGCUGCCUACAGCUAAUGCUGUUUGUAACUGUCCGACUCACACCAUCAGUGAGAACUGCAGACGCUGCUGCGAAGGUCGCUGCCUGGCAACCACUUCCUCUCCUGAUCCUUGUUCCUUCUCCUGAUCCCCAUUUCGUCUCUCUACCCUCUCCUUCCUUAUCUCCCUGUGUUUUAAACUUUUUCUACCUCACAGGAACGCAGACUCUGGCAGACGAAUGGUUUCACCUGUAGCCAUGGAGUCUGGCUUGUCCGCCCAAACACUUUUUCCCACAAUUUAGAUUUCCCAACAGGUUUAAACAGUCGACAGGACCAUUACACCAUCCAACCAGGGGACUAGGCGAUCGAUAAGGAGUUCAGGAGUUCAGGACGAAGCACUGGAACUCCAAACGGUGGAAGGUCCCGGACCCUACAGACGACCCUCCAUCAACAUUCCACGGAGAAAACAACCACUAACGAAAAGAUCUGAGAAGGACGACCCUCGCUGUGCUCACACACGCGAGGCGAGGCUGCGUUGACCGUUCAGCUAAAGGUGUGAGCCAAGCGCCGCCUGAAGCUGCGCUGAUGAAUCACACUAUCAGACCAUACAUCGACACACACGUUCCUGAGAAAACACGCACACGAGCAGCCUUGAGUUGCCGACGCUGGACGACGUGUACACUUAACAUCACGGGAGUGACAGUGACUAAGACGACAUUGGGAGGAAAACCUGGCGGUGAUAACAAAUCCCAAGUGUCUGUGAUCAGCUGAUCACAACCUGAAGAACCCCAACGAACUGUCAAUGCGUCAACACACAGGACUCUGGCUCCAGCCUAUCUGACUCCCCACCAGACCCAAGGCUGUUAAAGCCAAUGCAUCUUGUCUUGGAAGCUUGGUGUUCCUUCCUUUGGAUAACAAGACAAGAUGAUGCAGAAGUGAGAACGUAAACAUUCUCACUCACAGCGAGAUAAGGUGGCGCAAACAAUUCCAUUGCUGCAGAGAGACAUUCCACCAGAGCCAGAGAAAGGGGUUAAAAGGCAGAAGCAACUCGAGGAUCGUGGGCUCUUUGCGUCACACCUUUGUGGUGUGUGCACUGAUCUCCCCAGCUGGUUUUUCGUUUGUUGAUGUGCACGCUUAACAUCCAUGUUUUGGAUUUCCUUUCCCCAUUAUUUUUAUUUUCCUGUCCACAAAAGACAACUCUCAUCUGCCUCUUUAUGGGAAAUUUUCACCACAACGAUGAUCUUAGUUUCUCUGGUGAUGAAGACGAUGAUGCUGAGACCACAAUAGCGUAAUUACUUUAUUGUGACAAUCUUUUUAUUUCUCCUCUCUUACCCUUUCCGUUGUUGUUUGUUAUCUGAUCACAAAAUAUAAUCUGAUACAAAUAUGAUUGUUGGCUUAUUUUCUUCACAUGCUCAUACAGAGGUUAUUCUUAUAUUAUGUCUAACUAAUGUUCUGCAAUUAUUAUAUCUUGUGUUUUGUCUUACAUCUGUCUUAUGUAUUUGACAUUUCACCUAGACUGUUCAAUGGUUGUCUCUGCCUGAUAGACUCUGGACUCUAGCUCCCAAACCCAAGGUCUGUUGAGUCUGUUGAGACUUAGCGCUCCUUCCUCUCUGAUAGUCAGACGUCAGUAAUGCAGGUGUGAGAAUGUAAACAUCUCCACACACACAGUGACAGGGAUGAGAUGGUGCAUUCAAUUUGAAUGGGCUACACAGACAUUCCACCAUAGUCAGACAGAGAGGUUAAAAGGCAAAAGCAACUUGAGGAUCGUGGGCUCUUUGCAUCACACCUUCUUGGUGAAUGCACUGAUCUCCCCAGCUGGUUUUUGGUAUGUUGAUGUGCACCAUCAACAUCCAUGUUUUUGAUUUGCUUUCCCUGUUAUUUUUAUUUUCCCUUAUUUUUAUAAUGAAUGUCACAAAAGGCAGCUCUCUCAUCUGCCUCUUUAUGGGAAAUUUCCACCACAGUGCCCACAGUCCGGAGCCGCUGCUCUGUCAGCGGGGGACAAACUGGUAGUUUGUCACAAUAGCCUUUCCCUUCUCCUGUGCUGACUGGGAUACCACCAGUCAGCACAGGAGAGUUCUAAGAGCCUAAAGAAAAAAAAAUAUAAUCCUCAAUUUGUCUGAAUGGUGAGACAUACUGUACAGUUACGUAAGUACUUUCGUGCACUCAUACAUACCUGCCUUGUGGGGAGAACUUAAUUGGGAACCAGUUUGCACACAAAUUGAGUUGGGGUAUAAGAACACCUUAUUCAUUCGAGGCAUUUCCGUGCCAUUGAUGUACAGCUCACAUAGCUUUACUGCCAUUAAGUGAGUUUCCUCAGACUAAGGAAUUUAAUGGUGACACUGGUCAAACUAGAACUAGGCCGCAUUCAUCAUGAGUGGUGUCAGGUUUUUGUGUUCACUUCCUGUUUUAUUGUCAUAGUCCCGGUUUCCAGUCUCGUCCUGUUAACACUAGUAUUACUUCCGGUUAUCAUUACACGCAUCUGUCUUGCAUUUACCAUUACUUACCAGGAUAUUUAACCACCACCUGUUACCACAGUAAUCCGCCAGAUCGUUGAAUCAAUGUCUUCACGUUCCAGAAGUAUCUUGUUUAGCUUAUCCCGUCUCCGACCCAGUUCUGUAUUUCAGACCACCGAUUCUCGUCUGAUCCCGACUGGUAUUGUAAAUUCCUUGUUUCUGUUGCUGAACCCUGCCUGUUACCGGACCUGUCUAAGCCUGCUGAUUCAAACACUAAAAUCUGAGCCUUUUGGUAUUGACCCACGACUGUUAUCGGAACCGAUUACGCCUGCUCCCUCUGUGCCUCAAUCCUGUGUUUA